rnacentral:rRNA from 1 species
AAUCAACGCUGGCGGCGCGCUUAACACAUGCAAGUCGAACGAGAAAGCCCGCAAGGGUGAGUAAAGUGGCGUACGGGUGAGUAACACGUGGGUAAUCCACCUCUUAGUGGGGAAUAACCCUGGGAAACCGGGGCUAAUACCGCAUAAGCCCGAGAGGGGAAAGCAGAAAUGCGCUGAGAGAGGAGCCCGCGGCUGAUUAGCUAGUUGGUAGGGUAAAGGCCUACCAAGGCUAUGAUCGGAGCCGGCCUGAGGGGGCACACGGCCACACUGGCACUGAAACACGGGCCAGACUCCUACGGGAGGCAGCAGUGGGGAAUCUUGCACAAUGGGGGAAACCCUGAUGCAGCGACGCCGCGUGAGCGAUGAAGCCCUUCGGGUGUAAAGCUC